GUCCAUGUCCAGAAAGAUAAUAAAAAACAUAAUCAAAGUUGCCAUUUGACAUCAAUGGGUCAGUUAGAAUGUGUUGAAGCAUCCAAAAAACAUCUUGGUCCAAAAAUGACAAAUUUAUUCAGCAUUCUCUUCCAUGUCUAUUGUGUAGCGCAUGUGUCUGACUAAAGUCUUGUGACGCAGAUGGCGUGUUAUCCUCAGAUAUGUUUGUGAAUUUUUUUCACAUUUACAGCAUUCGUCUCCCUCAGACUGUAAACGAAGCUCGGGUGCACAAAAAAAAGCGGGGACGCACCUAAUAACACAUCAGCCACGUUGUACGUCAGCUGCGUCACUGCAGUCAUGUGACUUUAGUCUCGUGCGCGUUCAAAACAGAACCGGAAGAGAAGACAAUGCUGAAUGAUGUCGUAAUUUUGUUAUUUUUGGACCAAAGUGUAUUUUCGAUGCUUCAACACAUUUUAACUGACCCACUGAUGUCAAAUGGCUACUUUGAUGAUGUUUUUUUAUUACCUCUCUGUUCCUGGACAGUAUACUGUGCAUAGAUUUUCAAUGGAGGGUCAGAAAGCUCUCAGACUAAAUCUAAAAUAUCUUAAACUGUGUUUCGAAGAUGAACGGAGGUCUUACCCUCAUGUCGUUCCAAACUCGUGAGUCAUUAAUUACAUUAUUUUCAUUUUUGGGUGAACUCUCCCUUUAAUUACAUGCUCAUACUUUAAUUAUGCCUGAUAAGAAUUUGUAAUAUUUGUGUUUAAACAUUUUUCGAAUUUUAAUCCUUGUUUUUAAAUGGCCAUGACAGUGACAAAAAGGAAGCAGCCUUCUCUAGCCCACCCAAGUUUCCAUCAAAGCAGCAAGCCUAGUAAGACAUUUUAUGUGUAUAAUGCUGCACUUCUCAUACAGCGAAUAUCAGAUGUAGAUAUCUAAGGUGCAAAUCUUAUGGUUGAUGUGCCUUUUUGAUCAUCUUUCUGUUGUAACCUUUUUUAAUCUUCUUGAAGUGUCAGUAAGAAGAAAGCUGGCUAACCCUCCCACCCCUUGUUUAACUCCUCCAGCCCAUCCCACAUCAUUGUAGAGUGAAGAGACUGCGGUUAAUAUUCAGAAAGAGGCGUAGAGAACUGAAGGCUUUCCUGACUUGACACCGAAUAAUAACGAAGGCCUGUGUGCUUUGCAGCAGCCUCCACGUCACCCUCUUCCAGGGCUCCGUCAGAGGACUAACGAUAUGCCACAAGAUGAUUGGCAGCAAGACG